rnacentral:rRNA from 1 species
AAAUUGAAGAGUUUGAUCAUGGCUCAGAUUGAACGCUGGCGGCAGGCCUAACACAUGCAAGUCGAACGGUAACAGGAAUCAGCUUGCUGAUUCGCUGACGAGUGGCGGACGGGUGAGUAAUGUCUGGGAAACUGCCUGAUGGAGGGGGAUAACUACUGGAAACGGUAGCUAAUACCGCAUAAUGUCGCAAGACCAAAGAGGGGGACCUUCGGGCCUCUUGCCAUCGGAUGUGCCCAGAUGGGAUUAGCUAGUAGGUGGGGUAACGGCUCACCUAGGCGACGAUCCCUAGCUGGUCUGAGAGGAUGACCAGCCACACUGGAACUGAGACACGGUCCAGACUCCUACGGGAGGCAGCAGUGGGGAAUAUUGCACAAUGGGCGCAAGCCUGAUGCAGCCAUGCCGCGUGUAUGAAGAAGGCCUUCGGGUUGUAAAGUACUUUCAGCGGGGAGGAAGGGAGUAAAGUUAAUACCUUUACUCAUUGACGUUACCCGCAGAA